rnacentral:rRNA from 1 species
UGAAACUCGCCUACAUGAAGCUGGAGUUGCUAGUAAUCGCGAAUCAGCAUGUCGCGGUGAAUACGUUCCCGGGCCUUGUACACACCGCCCGUCACACCAUGAGAGUUGGCAAUACCCAACGUACGUGAUCUAACCCGCAAGGGAGGAAGCGUCCUAAGGUAGGGUCAGCGAUUGGGGUGAAGUCGUAACAAGGUACC